GAACCUCAGAUUGAGGAGAUCUUUAAGAAAGCUGGCCACCCCUUCAUGUGGAACCAGCACCUGGGCUACGUGCUCACCUGCCCAUCCAACCUGGGCACUGGGCUGCGUGGAGGCGUGCAUGUGAAGCUGGCGCACCUGAGCAAGCACCCCAAGUUCGAGGAGAUCCUCACCCGCCUGCGUCUGCAGAAGAGGGGUACAGGUACGGCUCCCACA
rnacentral:lncRNA from 1 species